rnacentral:rRNA from 1 species
GUCUCUUUGUUAAUAAUGUAUAAGGAGUUGGGCCUGCCCGGUGAUGUGUAAUUUAACGGCCGCAGUAUCUUGACUGUGCAAAGGUAGCAUAAUCAUUUGCCUUAUAAUUGAAGGCUUGUAUGAAGGGUUUGACGAAAAUAAUACUGUCUUAAUUUAAUUUUUUAGAAUUUAACUUGUAAGUGAAAAGGCUUAGUAUAGAAUUAAAAGACAAGAAGACCCUAUUGAGCUUUAAAGAAAUUGUAAAUUUUUUAAUGUAUUAAUAUAAUUUGAUUUGGUGGUUUUUUUUUUGGUUGGGGUGAUCAGAGAAUAAUAGUAACUUCUUUAAUUGUUUAAUUUGAAUUAUGGUUAUUGAUCCAAUUUUAUGUUGAUAUUAGAUUUAGUUACCAUAGGGAUAACAGCAUAAUUUUUUUUGAGAGUUCUUAUCGAAAAAAGAGAUUGUGACCUCGAUGUUGGAUUAAAAUUUCCUGAAGGUGUAGGAGCUUUUUGAUUAGGUUGGUCUGUUCGACCAUUAAAAUUUU